rnacentral:rRNA from 1 species
CCUACGGGAGGCAGCAGUGGGGAAUAUUGCGCAAUGGGGGAAACCCUGACGCAGCAACGCCGCGUGAGUGAAGAAGUAUCUCGGUAUGUAAAGCUCUAUCAGCGGGGAAGCAGGAAGACGGUACCCGACUAAGAAGCCCCUGCUAACUACGUGCCAGCAGCCGCGGUAAUACGCAGGGGGCGAGCGUUACCCGGAUUUACUGGGUGGAAAGGGAGCGUGGACGGCGUCGCAAGUCUGAAGUGAAAGCACGUGGCUCAACCGCGGAACCGCUUUGGAAACUGCGAGGCUGGAGUGCUGGAGAGGUAGGCGGAAUUCCUGGUGUAGCGGUGAAAUGCGUAGAUAUCAGGAGGAACACCGGUGGCGAAGGCUGCUUACUGGACAGUGACUGACGUUGAGGCUCGAAAGCGUGGGGAGCGAACAGGAUUAGAUACCCGGGUAGUC